GUCGAGGUGGCUUUGUGAUUAAGAGCGCUGGCUGCACUUCCAGAAAACCUGGGUUCAAUUCCCAGCAACCACA
rnacentral:tRNA from 1 species